rnacentral:rRNA from 1 species
UGCGUAGGCGGAUAAAUAAGUCAGUGGUGAAAUCUUUCGGCUCAACCGGGAAACUGCCAUUGAUACUGUUUAUCUUGAGUUCGGUAGAGGUAGGCGGAAUGUGUAAUGUAGCGGUGAAAUGCUUAGAUAUUACACAGAACACCAAUUGCGUAGGCAGCUUACUAUGCCAACACUGACGCUGAGGCACGAAAGCGUGGGGAGCGAACAGGAUUAGAUACCCUGGUAGUCC